rnacentral:rRNA from 1 species
UACGUAGGGUGCAAGCGUUAAUCGGAAUUACUGGGCGUAAAGCGUGCGCAGGCGGCUUUGCAAGACAGAUGUGAAAUCCCCGGGCUUAACCUGGGAACUGCAUUUGUGACUGCAUGGCUGGAGUGCGGCAGAGGGGGAUGGAAUUCCGCGUGUAGCAGUGAAAUGCGCAGAUAUCAGGAGGAACACCGGUGGCGAAGGCGGAUCUCUGGGCCAUUACUGACGUGAGAAAGCGAAAAGCAUGGGGGAGCAACAGG